rnacentral:misc_RNA from 1 species
GCAAACUUGGUCAUUUAGAGGAAGUAAAAGUCGUAACAAGGUCUCCGUUGGUGAACCAGCGGAGGGAUCAUUAGCGAGUUGCAAAACUCCCACACCCUUGCGAACAUACCUACCGUUGCCUCGCCGCCGGCCUCGCGCCAGCGGCGGCGGCCCCCUAAACUCUUGUAUCUACGGGCUUCUCUGAGUACACUUAUAACAAGUCAAAACUUUCAACAACGGAUCUCUUGGUUCUGGCAUCGAUGAAGAACGCAGC